AUAUAGGCUGGCCUGCCGCCGGCCUCCUCCCGUGGCCCCGCCGCCUGCCUCUUCCCGCGGAUGCGCCGCCGGCCUCCUCCCGUGGCCCCGCCGCCUGCCUCCUCCCGUGGCGCCGCCACCUACCUCAUCCCGCGGAUGCGCAGCCCCAUGUGCCUCCACAAACGUCGUCGCUCGCCGCGACUGCCAUCCGCCUCCACCAGCACGUCGACCACCACGCCUCCUGUGCCCGCCGCUGCCUGCCAAGGCCCCCCCACGCCUCCUCCGGCGCACCGCCGUCACCACCUACUCCGGCGCGACGCCGCCUCCACCUCCUCCCAGCUCCUUCGCCUCCUACGGCGUGCCGACACACAACCCCUCCCGACGGGCCCCACCGCAGCAGCACACGGGGCGUUCCGGCCGCUGCGGGCGCCGCCCCCAUCCCACCUCCACCUAGGCGCGCCACCACCACUCCGUCUCCGGCGACCCAUCCCGGAUCACGAUCUGGAGAGGUUCACCCCUCGGGCUGGGAAGUUCACCGCAGCCGGUAAGUGCCGUCGAAGGGCGGUGAUCUGCAACUUCCUCUCCUUCCUCGCAAUCGUCAGCUGUUGUUGCUUCGACGCCACGAGCUGACCCAUCUCAGGACGGCGUUCCUGCGCCCAGCCGCUGACCGGUGCCAUGGACGCCUGCUGCCGGCCUCCGCCGUCACGCUCGUCACCUUCAACUCGGCGCCCAGGUCCAGUGAUGUGUCGCUAUAGCUCCUGAGGGUCGACGGUGUCGUUGCGGUGCAUUUGGCUUCGCAAUGCCCCGCGCUGCUUCCACCUCUAGUCACUUCAAUUCACUUCAACCUGCCCAGCCUCAUCAGCUUGGUUGUUUGUGUUUUGAAGAACAAACAGAGUUGGCUAAAAAUUUAUGCUACUACCGACACCCACAGAUAAAGCAGAGUACACCACUGAUUCUGAACUUCUAACUGAAUCUGAACUUCUACCUGUUCCCCAUAGCGGUAGGCAAGCAAGAAAGCAGAGUACAAAAAAACAGAGAAUUGGGGAUAGGCAAUGGCAGCGGGCAGAACUCAGAAGAUAUACAUGUUGGGUUCAGUUUAUAGUCUAGUCAAACGAGAACGUAGAAAGCUGAAACAGCCAGCUACUUGACGAACAACUGAAAUUUUCCCAGGGCCAACUCGUGAAAGAGCCGCGGAAUGAGCUCCCCCCGUGGUGGCUAACUUUCUUUCUUUCUUUUCAUCCUUUACACUCUAUGGGCGCGAUUUGAGUCGUUAGUAUGCAACAAAAAAAAGGGUGAACAUGUGUUAGGCCAUUGGCCCUUUUUGUUUU